GGGGGUGUUCUGGUUUCGACUAGGGAAUGAAGUACUGGUCGCAUGCGGAGGGUGUCGGUUGGCCUCCUAAAAAAACCGAUAAAACCAUAAAUGCUGAAACUAACAGCAAAGUACUGGCUUUCGAGCCAGUCGUAGUAGCCGCUUAAUCUUAACAGAUUGAGUAGCCCGAUAGUCUGAGGUUGGACCAGGGACCGAGGAACUAUCGUCAUUAAUCUUGGUAUGGCUAUGAUGUCCGUUGUUUCUAGGGCAUUUUAGUCGAGAUUAAAUGAAGCGUGGCGUUGCUUGCGGGGUACCUUGCGUUGGCAUAGUCACUAGAACAAGGUACUAAGCAUGUAGAAGUUAGUAGGGAGUUUGCUUAGGACGAGAGUUCGAUUCUCUCCACCUCCAAUU
rnacentral:tmRNA from 2 species